AUUGGGACCAAAGAUUAUUGAAACCUUUAGGAACUGGUCCUGCCUGAGUUUCCUUCAGGAUACACGUAACGGAAUUCGUUUUUAAGAGGUAAAGCGAAUGAUUAGAGGCCAUUGGGGUGGAACCACCUUAACCUAUUCUCAAACUUUAAAUAAUGUAAGAAGCCCUUGUUGCUUAGUUGAACGUGGGCAUUAGAAUGGAGCGUUAUUAGUGGGCCAUUUUUGGUAAGCAGAACUGGCGAUGCGGGAUGAACCGAACGCGAGGUUAAGGUGCCGGAAUGCACGCUCAUCAGACACCACAAAAGGUGUUAGUUCAUCUAGACAGCCCGACGGUGGCCAUGGAAGUCGGAAUCCGCUAAGGAGUGUGUAACAACUCACGGGCCGAAUGAACUAGCCCUGAAAAUGGAUGGCGCUCAAGCGUGUUACCCAUACCUCGCCGCCGGGGUAGAAACGAUGCCCCGGCGAGUAGGCAGGCGUGGAGGUCCGUGACGAAGC
rnacentral:rRNA from 1 species